rnacentral:rRNA from 1 species
GAUCUUCCUAGUGAUUUCUGGUUGAUCCCGGCGGAGGCUACUGCUAUUGGGAUUCGAUUAAGCCAUGCAAGUUGAAUGAAUUUAGAUUCAUGGCGUACGGCUCAGUAACACGUGGAUAACUUACCCUUAGGACUGGGAUAACUCUGGGAAACUGGGGAUAAUACCGGAUAUUAGGCUAUGUCUGCAAUGGUUUGCCUUUGAAAUGUUUUUUUUCGCCUAAGGAUAGAUCUGCGGCUGAUUAGGUCGUUGGUGGGGUAAUGGCCCACCAAGCCGAUGAUCGGUACGGGUUGUGAGAGCAAGGGCCCGGAGAUGGAACCUGAGACAAGGUUCCAGACCCUACGGGGUGCAGCAGGCGCGAAACCUCCGCAAUGUACGAAAGUGCGACGGGGGGAUCCCAAGUGUUAUGCUUAAAGGUAUGACUUUUCAUUAGUGUAAAAAGCUUUUAGAAUAAGAGCUGGGCAAGACCGGUGCCAGCCGCCGCGGUAACACCGGCAGCUCGAGUGGUAGCUGUUUUUAUUGGGCCUAAAGCGUUCGUAGCCGGUUUAAUAAGUCUUUGGUGAAAGCUU